GCUGCAGCUUGCUGCAGGAGGAAAGAUGUAACAUCCAGCUGAGAUGCUGCUCUGGCCAGAGUCAGAAGGCUGGAGAAGUAACACCAGAGUAACAUCUGUGAAGCAUGGGACCCAUGGAGGGAAGUCAUGGCAGGAAAGUGAAGCAGGCAGUUAGCCC